rnacentral:lncRNA from 1 species
GCGAGUGGAUCUCCUGUGAAUUCUUGACUAGCCUGGUCUAUAUAGUGUGUUCCAGGAUAGCCAGGCGACAUAGUGGGACCAAAUCUCAACAGCCCCCUUUCUCCCCUCCCCCCACCAAAAAAACCCACGGUGAGUCAAGUAUGAUGGCUUGUGCACUUGGGAGGCUGGAAAACUGUUAAAUUUGGCUGUGCCCUGAGUUCAAAGCCAACCUGGGAUAUGGGCAGCCUUGUUUCAAAUCAAAGAAUGUACAAGAGGGAGUCUAAGUGAGGACAGCAAGGUUUUCUCAAAAGGUUUGAGUGUCCUGCAGGAGAGAGUUUGGGCAGAGUACACUGCUAGCCUUGUCACUCUGCGGUCAAGACGUGCUGACCAUACAAUCUGUCUGACAGUGCCCUCUGCCGUGUCUUCUCUGCCGCAGGUGACCUCUUGGUUCGAGCACUGCGCAGGACCAGAGCUGCUGGGUGGUCUGUGGCAGAGGCCAUGUGGUCGGUGCUCUGGCUGGCUGUCACUGCUCCAGGGAAGGCAGCCUCUGGAACCUUCUGGUGGCUAGGGAGUGGCUGGUACCAAUUUGUUACUUUGAUUUCCUGGCUGAAUGUGUUUCUUCUUACCAGGUGCCUUCGAAAUAUUUGCAAGGUUUUUGUCUUGCUGCUCCCACUCCUACUUUUAUUAGGUGCUGGUUUCUCCUUGUGGGGCCAGGGCAACUUCUUCUCACUCCUACCAAUGUUGAAUUGGACGGCCAUGCAGCCAGCGCAGAGGGUGGACAAUCCCAAGGACAUGCACAGACCCGGCCCUCUUUCCCCGAGUCCACCUCUCAAGGUUGAUCCCAUGGCUUCCCAGUGGCCUCAGGAGAGUGAUAUGGGGCAGAAGAUAGCCUCUUUGAGUGCACAGUGCCACAACCAUGAUGAGAGACUCGCAGAGCUGACAGUCCUGCUUCAGAAAC